GCUUAAGGCCACGCCUCCCUUCAGCUACGUGCUCUUUGAACCUCACAAGUUAAGCACAGGCAGGCCUGGCUAGUACUUGGAUGAGAAACCUCAAAGGAAAAUAGCCAGAUGUUGCAGGUC
ensembl:rRNA 5S_rRNA 5S ribosomal RNA